rnacentral:rRNA from 1 species
GACGAACGCUGGCGGCGUGCCUAACACAUGCAAGUCGAACGGAGAUACGAUUUCGGUUGUAUCCUAGUGGCGAACGGGUGAGUAACGCGUGAACAACCUGACUCUUAGAGGGGGAUAACACUCGGAAACGGGUGCUAAUACCGCAUAAGACCACGACCCGGCAUCGGGAUGAGGUCAAAGGAGCAAUCCGCUGAGAGAGGGGUUCGCGUCCCAUUAGAUAGAUGGCGGGGUAACGGCCCACCAUGUCAACGAUGGGUAGCCGAGCUGAGAGGCUGAUCGGCCACACUGGAACUGAGACACGGUCCAGACUCCUACGGGAGGCAGCAGUGGGGAAUAUUGGGCAAUGGGCGCAAGCCUGACCCAGCAACGCCGCGUGAGGGAAGAAGGCUUUCGGGUUGUAAACCUCUGUCCUUGGUGACGAAACAAAUGACGGUAGCCAAGGAGGAAGCCCCGGCUAACUACGUGCCAGCAGCCGCAGUAA